UACGAAGGGUGCAAGCGUUAAUCGGAAUUACUGGGCGUAAAGCGCGCGUAGGUGGUUCAGUAAGUUGGAUGUGAAAUCCCCGGGCUCAACCUGGGAACUGCAUCCAAAACUGCUGAGCUAGAGUACGGUAGAGGGUGGUGGAAUUUCCUGUGUAGCGGUGAAAUGCGUAGAUAUAGGAAGGAACACCAGUGGCGAAGGGGACCACCUGGACUGAUACUGACACUGAGGUGCGAAAGCGUGGGGAGCAAACAGG
rnacentral:rRNA from 1 species